AUGUACACAGUGACUGAAAGGACUCAAUUUACUGCAACUGCUGCCUGGCUUUACUUACAACUUUUUUUUUAUAAAGGAACUUACCUCCAUCUGUCUUUUCAAGGUCACGGACCACUUACUCUAAACCUCAGAACUCACUCUGAAGACUAUGGAACCUACAUAAAAGCCCAAUGUUUCCAAAGGACAAUAAUUCUCAUUUCUCUGAUGAAGACCUGUGGCUGCCCCGCAUGCUUUACAAAAUAUUACCAGGACACAGCCACAAAGAAAAUCGUUACAGAACAGACCGAUUUGCCAGUGAUGUCAGCAAGGACUAUUAAAAUCAUCGGUCCUAUUAAAACCUGCCUUGGUAAGAUUCAGAUUGCGUGCUUUCUCAUGGAGACCUCAACUACUCACAGCCGGUUUCCAACACGCACUGCCUGUGCACUGCACCUAAGCACUCAGCGCUCCUUGAAAGCAACAACGGAGUGUUAGGUAGGAAACACACACGCACACACACACGCACACGCACACACACUCCCACGUCUAAUAUACUCCAUUUUGCUUUCUCCCUUCAGUUUUAUUAAUUUUUCAGAACAUGCCCCUGUGUUGUGGGUUAUAAGAUUUCUCAUUUGAUAUCCUGUUGUACUGUAUACCAACAGCUGUCUUUCCAGAAAAAACUUAAAGAAAAUUCCAUUGAUUCAGCUAUAUAAGCAAAAAACUAUUGAUUGAUAUCCUUCUCUCUUCAACAUCAUCUCCCCUCUCCUACUCUCCCCUUCAAAAGAGAAAGCCUUAAGAGAACCUGGCUUGGCAAUAAAAUAGAAUAUUAAUCUGAUAUGUAGACA
rnacentral:lncRNA from 1 species